AAGUUCCUUUGGGCCACGUUAGUUUACAGAAAGAUUCUUGAAUGGGGUUAGACUUCUCGGGUUUGGGUACAAUUCAAAGUGGUCAGUGUUGUCGCUAACAUCUGUGUGUCUGCACCCUCUAGGUGACACAUCGGGACAAGAGGAAGACGCGGAGUCCACUGACGAGGAGGAAGUUUCAACGCAGCGGGAGAAUGCAGUAGAAUAUGUUACUCAAUCCCUUGAAGAUGCUCCUGAGGAUCCAAUUGUGCAGGAGGAAAUCGCAUUUUAUGAAGGAAUUUUAAUGUUUAUAUUACUGUUCUCCAGCAUCGUUUUGAUUUUUAUUGUAUUAUAUAAACCAACCAUUGACGAGUUGUGGCGGGUGUAAAUGGUAUAUUCUGCGUUGUAUCCAUUUGUCAAUUGUUUCCCCCUCGAUUCAUUAAACCCGUCUUUCUGGCUCAAAAA